rnacentral:rRNA from 1 species
UACAGAGGGGGCAAGCGUUGUUCGGAAUUACUGGGCGUAAAGGGCGCGUAGGCGCCUUCUAAGUCAGACGUGAAAUCCCCGGGCUCAACCCGGGAACUGCGUCUGAUACUGGAAGGCUUGAAUCCGGGAGAGGGAUGCGGAAUUCCAGGUGUAGCGGUGAAAUGCGUAGAUAUCUGGAGGAACACCGGUGGCGAAGGCGGCAUCCUGGACCGGCAUUGACGCUGAGGCGCGAAAGCCAGGGGAGCAAAGCGGG